UACGUAGGGUGCAAGCGUUAAUCGGAAUUACUGGGCGUAAAGCGUGCGCAGGCGGCUCGGAAAGAAAGAUGCGAAAUCCCAGGGCUUAACCUUGGAAUGGCAUUUUUAACUCCCGAGCUAGAGUAUGUCAGAGGGGGGUAGAAUUCCACGUGUAGCAGUGAAAUGCGUAGAGAUGUGGAGGAAUACCGAUGGCGAAGGCAGCCCCCUGGGAUGAUACUGACGCUCAUGCACGAAAGCGUGGGGAGCAAACAGG
rnacentral:rRNA from 1 species